CAGAGUGUAGUUGACCAGUGCCCAACAGUGAAAUUGACCGCUGGGCGGUGAAACUAGGCAUUGGGCGGUUUGCAGAUUCUGUGCUCUAAUGCAGUGUUCUUUAGUGUAUGUAGGAUAAAAUUUUUGGUACUAGGAGCACAAGAUGAUCGGGAGGUAGAUAAGAAAGGAGAAUUGGUUCACCAACAACCUGAUGUGAAAAGUGA
rnacentral:lncRNA from 1 species